rnacentral:rRNA from 1 species
GGACGAACGCUGGCGGCGUGCUUAACACAUGCAAGUCGAGCGGUAAGGCCCUUUCGGGGGUACGACGAGCUGCGAACGGGUGAGUAACACGUGGGUGACCUGCCCUCAGCUCUGGGAUAAGCCUGGGAAACCGGGUCUAAUACCGGAUAUGACUCCAUGACGCAUGUUGUGGGGUGGAAAGCCUUGUGCGGCUGAGGAUGGGCCCGCGGCCUAUCAGCUUGUUGGUGGGGUGANGGCCUACCAAGGCGACGACGGGUAGCCGGCCUGAGAGGGCGACCGGCCACACUGGGACUGAGACACGGCCCAGACUCCUACGGGAGGCAGCAGUGGGGAAUCUUGCGCAAUGGGCGAAAGCCUGACGCAGCGACGCCGCGUGAGGGAUGACGGCCUU